GAACGUAUGACUUAGUGGUCAGAGCGAUUGGAUGAUUUCCAAGAGGCGCAGGUACAAAUCCCGCUAAGUUGA
rnacentral:tRNA from 1 species